AGGCUGCAACUCGCCUACACGAAGUCGGAAUCGCUAGUAAUCGCGGAUCAGCAUGCCGCGGUGAAUACGUUCCCGGGCCUUGUACACACCGCCCGUCACACCAUGGGAGUUUGUAACGCCCCAAAGUCGGGUGGCCUAACCUUUAUGGAGGGAGCCGCCUAAGGCGGGACAGAUGACUGGGGUGAAGUCGUAACAAGGUAUC
rnacentral:rRNA from 1 species